rnacentral:rRNA from 1 species
AUUGAACGCUGGCGGCAGGCCUAACACAUGCAAGUCGAACGAGUGGCGGACGGGUGAGUAAUGUCUGGGAAACUGCCUGAUGGAGGGGGAUAACUACUGGAAACGGUAGCUAAUACCGCAUACCAUCGGAUGUGCCCAGAUGGGAUUAGCUAGUAGGUGGGGUAAAGGCUCACCUAGGCGACGAUCCCUAGCUGGUCUGAGAGGAUGACCAGCCACACUGGAACUGGGACCCGGUCCCGACUUCUACGGGAGGGCGCAGGUGGGAAUAUUGCACCAUGGGCGCCAGCCCGAUGGAGCCAUGCCGCGUGUAUUAAGAAGGGCUUCGGGUUUUAAAGUACCUUCAGCGGGGAGGCGUUACCCGCAGAAGAAGCACCGGCUAACUCCGUGCCAGCAGCCGCGGUAAUAC